GUGAACGCUGGCGGUAGGCCUAACACCUGCAAGUCGAACGGCAGCACAGUAAGAGCUUGCUCUUACGGGUGGCGAGUGGCGGACGGGUGAGGAAUACAUCGGAAUCUACUUUUUCGUGGGGGAUAACGUAGGGAAACUUACGCUAAUACCGCAUACGACCUACGGGUGAAAGCAGGGGAUCUUCGUACCUUGCGCGAUUGAAUGAGCCGAUGUCGGAUUAGCUAGUUGGCGGGGUAAAGGCCCACCAAGGCGACGAUCCGUAGCUGGUCUGAGAGGAUGAUCAGCCACACUGGAACUGAGACACGGUCCAGACUCCUACGGGAGGCAGCAGUGGGGAAUAUUGGACAAUGGGCGCAAGCCUGAUCCAGCCAUACCGCGUGGGUGAAGAAGGCCUUCGGGUUGUAAAGCCCUUUUGUUGGGAAAGAAAAGCAGCAGGUUAAUACCCCGCUGUUCUGACGGUACCCAAAGAAUAAGCACCGGCUAACUUCGUG
rnacentral:rRNA from 1 species